UGCGAAAGGGAUUAAAAGGGAAUGCCGUGAGAAUCGGCAACAGUUCCCGCUGCUGUAAGUCCCGUCCCUCUCAAUCAAAGAGGGAAAACGGUUCCGACACUCUUUGCCACUGGAAUAUUCCGGGAAGGCGUCGGUACAGGGACGAGUCAGAAGACCUGCCUGUAAAAUU
rnacentral:ncRNA from 1 species